rnacentral:rRNA from 1 species
CUGUGAGGCAUGCUGGAGGUAUCAGAAGUGCGAAUGCUGACAUAAGUAACGAUAAAGCGGGUGAAAAGCCCGCUCGCCGGAAGACCAAGGGUUCCUGUCCAACGUUAAUCGGGGCAGGGUGAGUCGACCCCUAAGGCGAGGCCGAAAGGCGUAGUCGAUGGGAAACAGGUUAAUAUUCCUGUACUUGGUGUUACUGCGAAGGGGGGACGGAGAAGGCUAUGUUGGCCGGGCGACGGUUGUCCCGGUUUAAGCGUGUAGGCUGGUUUUCCAGGCAAAUCCGGAAAAUCAAGGCUGAGGCGUGAUGACGAGGCACUACGGUGCUGAAGCAACAAAUGCCCUGCUUCCAGGAAAAGCCUCUAAGCAUCAGGUAACAUCAAAUCGUACCCCAAACCGACACAGGUGGUCAGGUAGAGAAUACCAAGGCGCUUGAGAGAACUCGGGUGAAGGAACUAGGCAAAAUGGUGCCGUAACUUCGGGAGAAGGCACGCUGAUAUGUAGGUGAAGUCCCUCGCGGAUGGAGCUGAAAUCAGUCGAAGAUACCAGCUGGCUGCAACUGUUUAUUAAAAACACAGCACUGUGCAAACACGAAAGUGGACGUAUACGGUGUGACGCCUGCCCGGUGCCGGAAGGUUAAUUGAUGGGGUCAGCGCAAGCGAAGCUCUUGAUCGAAGCCCCGGUAAACGGCGGCCGUAACUAUAACGGUCCUAAGGUAGCGAAAUUCCUUGUCGGGUAAGUUCCGACCUGCACGAAUGGCGUAAUGAUGGCCAGGCUGUCUCCACCCGAGACUCAGUGAAAUUGAACUCGCUGUGAAGAUGCAGUGUACCCGCGGCAAGACGGAAAGACCCCGUGAACCUUUACUAUAGCUUGACACUGAACAUUGAGCCUUGAUGUGUAGGAUAGGUGGGAGGCUUUGAAGUGUGGACGCCAGUCUGCAUGGAGCCGACCUUGAAAUACCACCCUUUAAUGUUUGAUGUUCUAACGUGGACCCGUGAUCCGGGUUGCGGACAGUGUCUGGUGGGUAGUUUGACUGGGGCGGUCUCCUCCUAAAGAGUAACGGAGGAGCACGAAGGUUGGCUAAUCCUGGUCGGACAUCAGGAGGUUAGUGCAAUGGCAUAAGCCAGCUUGACUGCGAGCGUGACGGCGCGAGCAGGUGCGAAAGCAGGUCAUAGUGAUCCGGUGGUUCUGAAUGGAAGGGCCAUCGCUCAACGGAUAAAAGGUACUCCGGGGAUAACAGGCUGAUACCGCCCAAGAGUUCAUAUCGACGGCGGUGUUUGGCACCUCGAUGUCGGCUCAUCACAUCCUGGGGCUGAAGUAGGUCCCAAGGGUAUGGCUGUUCGCCAUUUAAAGUGGUACGCGAGCUGGGUUUAGAACGUCGUGAGACAGUUCGGUCCCUAUCUGCCGUGGGCGCUGGAGAACUGAGGGGGGCUGCUCCUAGUACGAGAGGACCGGAGUGGACGCAUCACUGGUGUUCGGGUUGUCAUGCCAAUGGCACUGCCCGGUAGCUAAAUGCGGAAGAGAUAAGUGCUGAAAGCAUCUAAGCACGAAACUUGCCCCGAGAUGAGUUCUCCCUGACCCUUUAAGGGUCCUGAAGGAACGUUGAAGACGACGACGU